UGGGGAAUAUUGCGCAAUGGGCGAAAGCCUGACGCAGCGACGCCGCGUGAGGGAUGAAGGUUUUCGGAUCGUAAACCUCUGUCAGAAGGGAAGAAACCGCACUGUGCUAAUCAGCAGUGCCUUGACGGUACCUUCAAAGGAAGCACCGGCUAACUCCGUGCCAGCAGCCGCGGUAAUACGGAGGGUGCAAGCGUUAAUCGGAAUUACUGGGCGUAAAGCGCACGUAGGCUGCUUUGUAAGUCAGGGGUGAAAUCCCACGGCUCAACCGUGGAACUGCCUUUGAUACUGCUUAGCUUGAAUUCGGGGGAGGGAUGCGGAAUUCCAGGUAUAGGGGUGAAAUCCGAAGAUAUCUGGGGGAAAAUCAGUGGCGGAGGCGGCCACCUGGACCGGGAUUGACGCUGAGGUGCGAAAGCGUGGGGAGCAAACAGG
rnacentral:rRNA from 1 species